AGUCGAGCGAGUCUGCCUUGAAGAUCGGAGUGCUUGCACUCUGUGAAACAAGAUACAGGCUAGCGGCGGACGGGUGAGUAACACGUGGGUAACCUGCCCAAGAGAUCGGGAUAACACCUGGAAACAGAUGCUAAUACCGGAUAACAACAGAUGAUGCCUAUCAACUGUUUAAAAGAUGGUUCUGCUAUCACUCUUGGAUGGACCUGCGGUGCAUUAGCUAGUUGGUAGGGUAACGGCCUACCAAGGCGAUGAUGCAUAGCCGAGUUGAGAGACUGAUCGGCCACAUUGGGACUGAGACACGGCCCAAACUCCUACGGGAGGCAGCAGUAGGGAAUCUUCCACAAUGGACGCAAGUCUGAUGGAGCAACGCCGCGUGAGUGAAGAAGGGUUUCGGCUCGUAAAGCUCUGUUGUUGGUGAAGAAGGACAGGGGUAGUAACUGACCUUUGUUUGACGGUAAUCAAUUAGAAAGUCACGGCUAACUACGUGCCAGCAGCCGCGGUAAUACGUAGGUGGCAAGCGUUGUCCGGAUUUAUUGGGCGUAAAGCGAGUGCAGGCGGCUCGAUAAGUCUGAUGUGAAAGCCUUCGGCUCAACCGGAGAAUUGCAUCAGAAACUGUCGAGCUUGAGUACAGAAGAGGAGAGUGGAACUCCAUGUGUAGCGGUGAAAUGCGUAGAUAUAUGGAAGAACACCGGUGGCGAAGGCGGCUCUCUGGUCUGUUACUGACGC
rnacentral:rRNA from 1 species